rnacentral:rRNA from 1 species
CCUACGGGUGGCAGCAGUGAGGAAUAUUGGUCAAUGGGCGGAAGCCUGCACCAGCCAAGUAGCGUGCAGGAUGACGGCCCUACGGGUUGUAAACUGCUUUUAUACGGGAAUAACGCGCCUUACGUGUAGGGCUUUGCAUGUACCGUAUGAAUAAGGACCGGCUAAUUCCGUGCCAGCAGCCGCGGUAAUACGGAAGGUCCGGGCGUUAUCCGGAUUUAUUGGGUUUAAAGGGAGCGUAGGAGGCAUGUCAAGCGUGCUGUGAAAUGUCCGGGCUCAACCCGGGCCUUGCAGCGCGACCUGGCGUGCUUGAGUCCGCGGAAAGCAGGCGGAAUUCGUCGGGUAGCGGUGAAAGGCUUAGAGAUGACGAAGAACCCCGAUUGCGAAGGCAGCUUGCUGCAGCGGAACUGACGCUGAUGCUCGAAAGCGCGGGUAUCGAACAGGAUUAGAUACCCGGGUAGUC